UUAGAGUUUGAUCCUGGCUCAGAACGAACGCUGGCGGCGUGGAUAAGACAUGCAAGUCGAACGAGAGAAUUGCUAGCUUGCUAAUAAUUCUCUAGUGGCGCACGGGUGAGUAACACGUGAGUAACCUGCCCCCGAGAGCGGGAUAGCCCUGGGAAACUGGGAUUAAUACCGCAUAGUAUCGAAAGAUUAAAGCAGCAAUGCGCUUGGGGAUGGGCUCGCGGCCUAUUAGUUAGUUGGUGAGGUAACGGCUCACCAAGGCGAUGACGGGUAGCCGGUCUGAGAGGAUGUCCGGCCACACUGGAACUGAGACACGGUCCAGACACCUACGGGUGGCAGCAGUCGAGAAUCAUUCACAAUGGGGGAAACCCUGAUGGUGCGACGCCGCGUGGGGGAAUGAAGGUCUUCGGAUUGUAAACCCCUGUCAUGUGGGAGCAAAUUAAAAAGAUAGUACCACAAGAGGAAGAGACGGCUAACUCUGUGCCAGCAGCCGCGGUAAUACAGAGGUCUCAAGCGUUGUUCGGAAUCACUGGGCGUAAAGCGUGCGUAGGCUGUUUCGUAAGUCGUGUGUGAAAGGCGCGGGCUCAACCCGCGGACGGCACAUGAUACUGCGAGACUAGAGUAAUGGAGGGGGAACCGGAAUUCUCGGUGUAGCAGUGAAAUGCGUAGAUAUCGAGAGGAACACUCGUGGCGAAGGCGGGUUCCUGGACAUUAACUGACGCUGAGGCACGAAGGCCAGGGGAGCGAAAGGGAUUAGAUACCCCUGUAGUCCUGGCAGUAAACGGUGCACGCUUGGUGUGCGGGGAAUCGACCCCCUGCGUGCCGGAGCUGACGCGUUAAGCGUGCCGCCUGGGGAGUACGGUCGCAAGAUUAAAACUCAAAGAAAUUGACGGGGACCCGCACAAGCGGUGGAGUAUGUGGCUUAAUUCGAUGCAACGCGAAGAACCUUACCUGGGCUUGACAUGUAAUGAACAACAUGUGAAAGCAUGCGACUCUUCGGAGGCGUUACACAGGUGCUGCAUGGCCGUCGUCAGCUCGUGUCGUGAGAUGUUUGGUUAAGUCCAGCAACGAGCGCAACCCCUGUUGCCAGUUACCAGCAUGUGAAGGUGGGGACUCUGGCGAGACUGCCCAGAUCAACUGGGAGGAAGGUGGGGACGACGUCAGGUCAGUAUGGCCCUUAUGCCCAGGGCUGCACACGUACUACAAUGCCCAGUACAGAGGGGGCCGAAGCCGCGAGGCGGAGGAAAUCCUGAAAACUGGGCCCAGUUCGGACUGUAGGCUGCAACCCGCCUACACGAAGCCGGAAUCGCUAGUAAUGGCGCAUCAGCUACGGCGCCGUGAAUACAAACCCGGGUCUUGCACA
rnacentral:rRNA from 1 species